CCUUAAAAAAUUUUCAAAACACUGUUUUUUCUCCUGAUUAGGCCAUCGAACCCAGCGAGAUCCACGGUGGCCACCGGUCGCCGGCGACGAGCUCCGCCAUGCCCGGUGGCCGAAAAUCACAAAAAAAAGCCUCCAUUUUAACUCUAGACCUAGAUCUAAGGGUGAAAACCUUAAAAAGGCUCCCAUUUACCACCUUGCAUUUUGAAACCCGAACAAAACUCCAAUGAGUUUCUGGGGCUUUCACGACAGAGGAAAAACUCCGAUGGUGGCGAAGGACAAAGGAAGCGGUAAGUUUUUCUUUUUAUUAUUUCCUUUAUAAAAUAUAUGUGACAAUACACAAAGAAACAGAGAAAUGAAUCACCUUUUCGACUUGAAAAUUUCAGUUUUUCUAUUGAUUGCUUUGUAUGCGUAAAAAAAUACAUAGAUUAUUACAUGGCUUUUAUAGCCGAAAAUAGAGAAAAAAAAAGGAAAAUACAAAUUUGUUUGUUUUUCCUCUUUGUUGUGCUGUUGUUUUUGCAUUUGCUUGCAGGUGCUUGGCCAGCUGUGGCGUACGGAGGAGGCGACGUGGCGCGCGGUGACAUGGAGGGUACGGAGCCAGGCUAUGGGCGCACGGAGGUCAUACAUGGGGGUGUUGGCUGCGGCGCACCUAGGGAACCUAGGGUUUCUGAAAGUGUUUUAAUUUUGGGCCAUUUGGGCCAUGUAUUUCUGGUCUAGGUUUUAGGUUUGUGUAUUUGGAUUAGGUUUAUUGCUGGGCUUGUUUAGUUUUUGUUGCUGGGCUAUGUAAGAAAUGGACUGAUGGACUUUAAUCUAUUUUGGUUUUUUUGUUUUGUUAUCUAAUCAUUUCAUGGGCCCGGGCAAAUUGGGCCAUUUACAGAUACAUGUUUUUAAAUGCCAAUGUUGAUAUGUAAGAAAUGAUCACUUUGUCGCUAAGAUCUGUUACAUUCCAAACGACAAUCCGACGUGACAGUUAAAAUAAGUUUUAACUGCCAAUAUUGAUAUUCAGCUAGGAUGAGAAAAGUUCAAUUUUUUUAUGCAAAUAGAAUACAAAAUUUUACCCUAAAACCCAGUUUUCUUUGGUUUAAAAAGACGGAACAAUUGUUUUUUUUUAUCAUCAAAGAAGAGAAAUGGACAUACCAACCUCUAUAUAUGCUUGCUAUUGUGGUUGCCUACAAUAAACAAAUAAAAAAAGAUAAAACAUAUCUUUUUUGUCAGUCACUUAUAACAAAAAAAC
rnacentral:lncRNA from 1 species